GAGGGGACAAAGCUAGAGUUAUAAGGAGCAACCGUGACAGACUUCAUGAACUUCAAGUUGCAGAUUACAUCUGAAAAAGCUUUAAAAGACAAGAACCAGACUCUCAUGUUCAAGAUCCAAACUUUAUCGCCAUAUUUGUCAUCAUGAACAAAAUAAAGCAUCAGAAGGUUUCAGUCUUUCAGACAAGAUCCAGAUGUAGUUAAAUGAGGGCAUACUUUGAACUCUAUGUAUGUACGUAUCUAUGUAUAUAUGUAUGUGAAUCAUCAGAAACAACAUACUAUAUUCAUCAAGGAAAGGCCUUGUAUAGCAAAACACUGGUUAGUGUUACUUAAAGAGUGGGGAAAUUCUCUGGUUUUUGAAUUGAAUGUUUAGAAGUCACAUUGAUGAACAACAUUGAGAAAGAUAUUCAACGGAAACAAAGUAUCGAGAGAUUGGAGAAAGUAGUGUUUAGUUUAUUGAGAAGUGGAUCUCAAUCUUCGAAGCUGAUCAAUCCAACGAUCCUCAUUAACAUCGGAGGCCCAAUCAGGAGCCGUUCCAGGGAACGAGAUGGCUCGCAUUGCCUCCAUAACCCUAACGGCGUUCUCCGCCACUAACGGCGAUCUUCGACGCCGUUCGUCCUCUUCAAAUGCUCUACGGAUCUCCGGUUCAGUCUCCGUCUCUGUUUCUUCUUCGCUCUCUCCGUCUUCGUUUAUUCUAAUAGAGGAGAUUCUUUCCUCUGCUUCCGGGAUCAUACAAUGGCCGUUAGAGAGACCGUUGCCACCGACUGGAAGAUAACUGUCAUCAUCGUCAUCGUCAUCGGCGUUAUCUAGAUCGACGGCUGAGAUCGGUUCGUAAUAGUUUUGUGAAUCUUCGACGGAAUUAGAGUCGGAAUCGCUACCGGCGUUGUUGUUCUCUGCAAAUAAAUGCAUCUGGUUAACCAAUUAAGUAGAUCCCAAAUUUCGAAAAUCCGAAGAAACAAAUCUGUUUUCCGGAUCCUCAGAAGAAUUUAAACAGAAGAAGAAGGAGAGUAGAAGAACCUUCCAUAGAAGCUUCGAUCACCUGGAGACGAGAGGGAAGCAGCUGCUUCUGCGAAAAUUUGAGAUGUGAACGUGUUAUGUCGGAGCAUGAACUGAAAAAGCCUAUGAAGUAUGAAGUCGUGUUACACUGAGUUGACUCGGAUUACCAGACCCAUUUAUAUAAGCCCAUAUUAAAAGACGCCCACUUUAUGAGGCCCAAGCAUGAAUCAAAGUCAGGCAGGACCUCUGUUGCAUCGGUUGGAACUUGAAUCAGACAAAUUAUCCAAGUAUAUACGAUAUAGAGAAUUGAAUCCAUCGACUCAUUGCGUAGAACCCUAGAAGUUAUAUAUUUACCCUAAUCGAUAUAGAGAUCAAGUAUCUAUCUGAAAAGUUGUAUUUGCGAUCGAAACGAUUAGCGGCGGUGUUACUCUCUCUCUUGGUGAUCUAACCGUGUCUAUCUAUUUUUUCGAAUACUUACCUGGUGUUUGAUUCCCGUUCUAGAUUGAAAACCAAGUUUUUGAUUUUUUCUUUUUCUUUUUUUAAAUGGUUUAAAGUCUUGAAUGAUGGAGCGUCCUCCUACAAGUGAGGUAGCUAGGGCUCCAAUAGCGGUCUAUUGGGACAUGAAGAUGUGUCCGGUUCCCUAUGGCUAUGAUGCUCGUCGUGUGGGUCCGUUUAUUGAAUCGAAUUUGAGGCAGUUAGGCUACACUGGUCCUAUCACCAUCACUGCUGUUGGCUUACUAUCAGAUGUCCCUGAACAGAUCCUUGAAGCGCUCUUUUCCUCUGGAGUCUCUCUUUCUAACGUCCCCUACGGUUAGUAUCUUCUCCAUCCUUAUUCCCUUAUUUGUUUAGAGACUCUCUCAAGUCUUUAUUUGUUUUUGAAACAGGUACCAGAGACGUGGCAACGCUUGUCUUGUUUCGUACUUUCGAUUUUCCACCUCCAGCUAGUUUCAUGGUCAUAUCCCAUCCAGAAGAUGCCGCUGUAUUUCUUGACUUGGUAAGUGAGAUAGGAUACAACACUAUUUUCCCGUUUCCACUCAAAGAAGCCGCUUCUCAUCUAGAAGAUGAUGAUGGAAAGCCCCUCUGGGAAAACUUUCUUCGGGCAGGUUUGUGUUUUCCCUCAUCUCUCACUGUCUUCACUGUCUUCACUGUCUUGUUGUUGCUUAACUAGCUACCAUUUCUUUCUUUUUUUGUUCCACAUAUACAGAGCCUCCUGAGGAGGAUAAGUGCAGUGAAACAGGUCAAUCCUGGGUUUGCCGUGUGUGCCAUGGAGUUACUGGCCGAGACUUUCAAAGCUUUAUGACUCAUCUCUCUACUCCAAAACAUAUUUGGGAGGUAAUUAAGCAUCCCUAGCCAAGUUUUGUCAUCUUCCAACUAUAUUUGACUCAAACAAGCUCUUAGCUCUUACCCAAAGUAGUUUAUUUCCCUUCCUCACAUGUAGUUUAUUUUCCACUGGAUGUACAUUUGUUUUUCAAGCAGUUUCCGCGCUGGCAUACCUAUGCUACUAGCGGCAACCAAAUCCCCUGUGUAAGCUCGGACGAAUCGGUGGAUGCUGUUGAAGAGGCUCCCCUUGAUUCUUAUCCCGAGAAUGCUACUAUCAUGGUGAGUGAAGAAGCAAGCAAAAGGCCUGUUUUAAUAUCUGUCUGUAUCUGUCUGAAAGCGUUGAGAUAUCUAAUCUUUCGAAUUCUGCGGUUUUCCUAUUGAAAACUAAAACAUUGUAGGCUUAGUAGCGAAAGCACAAGAAGAGGAGGACGUGAAGAAGAAGAAUAUGAAGAGUACAUGGCCCUUGGUGUUGUUCUUCUCGAAGGCCUUCCCUUUCGUGUGGUGAAUCGGACAUUUGUUCUACUUGUAGCGGCAAAUGUUGGGUUAACUUAUAAGUCGUUUUUCUUUUUAAGUUAUGGAGAUCGGACAUAGUAACCGUAUGGUAUGUUUGAAAUGAUCAAUAAUGUGACAAGUAUGUUUUUAUCUACGUGUGAUAAAAAAAAUAUUAACACUAAAGCUCUUUGAAUAUUCGAUAGUAAAUGCCGGCUUAUAGCUCUUUCUACAAUUCUAAAAUAUGUUUUAAAACUGAUCCUCCGUAUAUCUAUCUUCUUCUUCUUCCCUUAUCUACUUCUAUUCGUUAAACACUACUACGAGCUUCUGCUUUCGACGACUGCUCGGAUCCUUCUCAGCAGAGGGAACCAUGAAUCCUUCACUCGUCACCGCCAUUAACGCUCCAAUUUCACCUUCUCCUCUUCUUUCUCACUUGCUACCUUCUUACUCGCCGUCGUUAUCGACUUUCGUUCCCUCGUAGCUCAGCUGCUUCCUCCGACCAAUUAUCAGCGAAGAAUCUCGGUAUCCAUGGGAAUAAGAAGGAGCUCACUGGAUUGUGGAGAAAAUGACGCCGCCGGUGAGGCUAGCCACUUCAGCUGUUGUUUUAGCUACUGGUUACGGCCUAGGGCUCCGGUGUAGUUGAGUGGAUCUUGAUUGCAGAAUCACUGAUUCCUUGGUGUUGUUUAGAUUGGCCGCAGGAUUUUUAGGCAAAGGCUUGAGACUGGGGAACGUGAAGGUGAUGCAGAACAGCGUCGGGUGAGUCGCCAGCCCCUAGUAUUCGUUAAUUUUAUCGUUGGAUUGUUCAGAAAGAGAGCAUAAGCGUGAUCACAAGUUGUAUGCUUCCAGUGCAGGCAUUUAUGAGGCUUGUAUAUGUUUCAGCUCUUGUGUUUGGAGAUGCUUCAUCCUUCCUUUUGCCUUGGAAGCGAGUAUUGAAGGUCACAGAUGCCCAGGUAGGCAUUUCUAAGUCCUUCAUACUUGUGAUUUUUCGCAAUAGUUGUUCUAUGGGAAGUUGCAUAUUGGCAGCUUACUCCUACUUGGUAAUCUCAAGUUCUGUGCUAAUGUCUUGACCUCAUUUCUAGGUUGAGAUUGCUAUUCGUGAAAAUGCAAAGCAGCUGUAUGCCCAACGGUUAAAAAUUAAAAUUAGUUGGUAGAGGUAAUGUUGUUUAUGUUUUACAUUUUGAGAUGGGAAGUAAUGUUACAUUUGUAGAACUGAGGAAGUCUGCUUGAGUUGGUUAUAUCAAUUAUUGUGGCACUUCUUUGUCCAUUGGGUUUUGUAAUAUUCGUUUCUCAGCAACCUUAAUUGUUGCUUCACAUGGGACUGUAGUGAUGUAAUGAAUUCUUAUCAUUUAACAUUGAUAAUAGACAAUGCUUAGCUUUUUUCAUCAACUUAAUGCAUGGAAACUUACAUGGUUAUGUCUCUAAACAUGUUCUUACAGAUAUUAACGUAGAAAACCUUGUGGACCUAAAGCACAACUAUCAUUCAAGCUCUCUGAUGAGGUACUCUAUUUCUUUGUGGCAUUGACUUCCUGCUAUCUCUGGUUGUACUUCUUCUGACAGUUUCUUCUCCCUCACAGCUUGCUGAAGACCUGUUUAGAGAGCAUACUAGAAAAGUAGUCGUAGAGAACAUUUCAUCGGCACUCAGCAUACUAAAAUCCCGCACACUAGCAGCGUAAAUCAUUUUAACAUAUUGCUUACUGAAUCAUGCAUAGAAAAGUCGUAUAGAAUAAUCAUAAUCCAUGUGAAUUAGUUUGGUUUACACAUUCAACUUUUUUUUAUCUCUUGUACCAAUUAGUUAUGACUUCAGCUGUAGGCUUGGGUGGGUAUACGUAUUCCUUUGCUUGAACAUUGAGUUUGGUCGGGUUGAAAAAGAGAUUGAAGUUUUGGCUUUAGUUUUGAGUUUUGGUUAUUGCAAAAACUGAUUGGUCAUAUGAUCCUCUUUUGCUUUUGUGAAGUGUCUUUUAGUUUUAAAUAGUUUUAGGCUGUGAAGUGAAGUCAUGAGAUUUUAAUUUUUAGGCGUUUUUGUAUAUUGUGAUCAUUAAUAGUGGAAACAAAUUGGAUCAUCUAGUAUGUCUAGUAUUUUUUUUUUUUUUCAUCAGUAUGUCUAGUUUAUAGUAGUUUACAAUGCAUGUCAUUUUAAUAACCUGAUUUUUUCCAAAAAGAGUUUGGCAUCUGUCGUGGAAGAGCUUGAAAAGGUACUGGAGUUUAACAACCUGCUGGUUUCCUUGAAAAGUCAUUCAGAGGCAGAUCAAUUUGCAUGCGGGGUUGGCCCUAUUUUUUUUGAUAAGUGAAGAUGCUUUUGACCUUCUCUUUUCUGAAUAAUAAUUAUUGGCUCUCAACCUUGGAUCUAUGUGGCUUAGGUGAUGAGUCUGAUUUUGAGAGGAGAAUGGAUGAUUUAAAGCUCCUUUAUAGAGCAUAUGUCACAGAUGCUUUAUCUGGUGGGCGCAUAGCAGAAAACAAGGUAAACUUAAACCAGUUUUGUAUAAGAUAUUAUAUACUAAAGCUUGGUUGCGAGUUCUUUAGGGAGCAGGUGUCUCAGAUGCUGUAUCCUCUAUCCCAGUCCCUUGAUUUUUUUUUUUUUUAAAUUUCUGAUUUUUCUUUCUGCUGAAUGGUAGCUCGUGGCAAUGAGCCAGCUUAGAAACAUACUCGGACUGGGAAAACGAGAGGCUGAAGCUAUUAGUGUUGAUGUUACGUCCAAGGCAUACCGUAAAAGACUUGCUAACGCUGUUUCUAAUGGUGACCUUGAAGCACAAGACAGUAAAGCAAAAUACCUUCAAAAGCUCUGCGAAGAGCUGCACUUUGAUGCACAGAUGGCAGGCGCAAUCCAUGAAGGUAUACGUGGGACAUUCCGUUCACCAAUGAAACAUUAUGUUGUUAUGUUAUGCAUGAGGUAUACAGUUUGAAUUGCCACAAAGUCGCCCAAAUAUAAGAUGUGUCCAUGGGUUAACUAAAAUCUUAUCAAUUUAGUUGAUGGCUUGUAAACCUGCUGGUUCCUUAUUCUUGCAAGCUAGCUUUUAGUGUUGUAGAUUUGGGUCUUAACAGACUUCCAACAAGUCUGGCGUUUCACAGGGUUACAUGCUGUUACUUUACAGUUUUACUAUCUGUUUUUGGUCUUUUUUCCUCAAUCAUCUGACAAGCACCUUCUCUUCUUCAGAAAUCUAUCGGCAGAAGCUUCAACAGUGUGUUAUUGAUGGAGAGCUGAGCGAUGAUAAUGUUGCUGCUUUAUUAAGGUUAAGAGUCAUGCUCUGUAUUCCCCAGCAAACUGUUGAGACAGCUCAUGCAGAAAUCUGUGGAACCAUAUUUGAAAAGGUAAUCCAGUUAUCCUCCCUUGUCCCUUUAUCCUAGGUUUUUUGAUGGUCUUGGGUCUUGGCAGUGCAAUUUCCGGCUUCCUUCGCAUCUUGUUGCUGAAAGGUUUACCUACAUUUACUUUUUUGUUUGACCUUAUCCAGGUUGUCAGGGAGGCAAUUUCUUCUGGAGUGGAUGGUUAUGAUGCUGAAACUCGCAAAUCAGUAAGAAAGGCUGCACAUGGUCUUCGGUUAUCCAGAGAGACUGCCAUGUGUAUUGCUAGCAAGGCUGUGAGUAUCACACUAUUUACUUUCUCCAUGUUUGGUAUUAGGAUUUGCUAUUUUUUUCUGACUUCUCAUAGCAGGACAUGAAAAAAAAAUCCCUUCAUUAAUGCAGGUCCGUAUGGUUUUCACAAACUAUAUCAGACGAGCAAGAGCAGCAGAGAACCGCACUGAGUCAGCAAAGGAGCUCAAGAAGAUGAUUGCUUUCAACACGUUAGUUGUGACUGAAAUGGUGACUGACAUUAAGGGAGAAUCUUCUGAUAAGGCACCUGAGGAGGACCCUGCUGAAAUGGUGGCUAAAGAGGUAUGUACUUUUGAAUUGAAUUCGUUAAAUGAUUGUUUUGUCAUUAUUUUUAGUCGUAGUCUCAGAGAUCCAUCGUUCUUUCUUCAUCCUAUAUCACUGCAAAUUCUAAAAUUAUGGCCCUUUUACGAACUCAUUAGUGUGUGAUAGUCUGAAGCUUUUUGUCUUGUAUCUCUCUCUACUUGUUUAGCCCGAGGACUGGGACGAGGAAGAAAACGGUCUCUGGGAACCUCCAAAGAUCCCAAAUCCUGCGUUCAAAGGUCCUUGGAAAGCAAAGGUUAUUAUUUGACAGUCAUCAAUGGUUAUAUAGAUUACCACCUUUUCUUCUACACCAUUUGACAUUUCUCAAAACAUUAUUUUCCUACAGAAUCAAGAACCCGAACUACAAGGGAAAAUGGAAGAACCCAUGGAUAGAUAAUCCAGGCAUGUUUCUGCAUAUUUAAUGUGUAUCUUCGUUUUGAGCUGGAUUUCUUCUUGUAAAUACUAAGCUUGAGCUUCUCGGUUUUGCACAGAAUUUGAGGAUGAUCCAGAUCUUUACGUUCUGAAGCCGAUAAAAUAUGCAGGCAUUGAAGUAUGGCAGGUAAGUUCUAAAGCUUUCUUGAAUUCAAUCACAUAUAACCUUUAUAAUCACUACAUCACCACCAGACAUGGAUGAACAUUUAUAUAAUAGUCACUGCCAGUUAGUUAUUUUAACAAUGCAGCUCGUACAUAUAGAUCAUCCAAAUACUUAGGGUAGAACUUUUAGGAUUAACACAAAACAAAAAGAAACAGAAAAGAUCAGAUAAAAGCCUUCAUUUUAGACGAGCUAGGGACCAAAGUUAUCUAGUGCAUCUGGAUGAAGACAUUGAUUUUUAAUGCUGCAGGUGAAGGCUGGCUCUAUCUUUGACAAUAUCUUGAUCUGUGAUGACCCGGAAUAUGCAAGAAGCAUCGUGGAUGACUAUUUUGCCCAGCACAGGGAGGUAGAUUUCCAAACCUUUGGAUAUUUUUUUGCUUGUUUUUUUGGAUAAAAUCGAAGUAGUUUUUCGAUCUUAGGAUUGUGUAGUAAUUGCAAAUGAGAUUUUCUGCAUACUUUUUAUAUACGAAAAUGUCUUAUUAGUAAUUUGAUAUGCUAUAUACUUGGCCAUACGCACCAGUCUGAGAAGGAGUUAUUUGCGGAGGCUGAGAAAGAAAAGCUAGAGAAGAUGAGGUUUGUAGUUUACAAACAAGUUCUUGUUCCCUUUUCAAAUCUUCUCUGUAUAUCUUAGUUACGAGCAUGGCCAUACAAAUCGAUGUUUACAGGAAGCUCGGAAAGCACGGGAAGAAGGUGAACGCAGGCGGAAGGAAAGGGACCACCGGUAUGGAGACAGGAGGAGGCGUUACAAACGAGUAAGUAAAGUACAUAUGGAGACCUAAUGAAUAUAUUCUAUAGUUUUUCACCUUCUCAACUCUGUUAUAUCUGGGGACCAAGUGAGUGAAUAUAGUUGCAAAUGGUUUGUUUUUGUUUUGCAGCCGAAUCCACGUGAUUACAUGGAUGAUUACCAUGUAAGUGGUUUUCUUCUAUCUCAAACACUUAAAAAAAAACUGGUUUAUGCAUUUUAGUACUGAAUCAUCUUAAUUUUUCUAAACUUGGUAUGAUUCUGAAUUUCGUGUAGGAUGAGCUGUAAGGCGCAGUGGUGGACAUUUGGAAAGCAUUGGGGAAAGUAACUAUAUUUUGCUCAAUAUGUGUGAUUGUAAUUUCAUAAUCUGUAACCUUUUGUAUUCGUAUUCUUAUAAUGUAUUUUGGCAUGAAAUCUUGACUUGUUAUUUUGCUUUCAAUACAAACUUUCUAAAAUUGGCAAGAACGACAAACUACCAUGCGGUGAUCUGUGAAUUUUGAUAGAAGUGGUAAUAUUCAAUUUUUACCACAGCUAAUCUCUUUGCAUCCUCAUAAAGAAAAUAGUUGAGUUGAACUGAGGUUUGCGUUUCUUAGUGAAAAAUAAAAUAAAAAUGGAGACCUAUAGCUACAAAGUGUGGUGUGGUGAAGGUAACCACGUACAUUUGGAGGAAUUAAUGUGAAUACAUUUUUAGAAGUCGUAGACUCCAAUAACAGUAGGUGAAAAUUAGCCAAAACUAAGUAAUUGUGUAGUGUGUAGACGUUUGUGAUUAAGUUUAAGAGGAGAUCUAUGUGAAGCUUGUUUACUGCUUUCUAAUGCAUUGGUUUACUCUUGUUUUAUGAAGCUUGUUUGAUGUUUAUCACCGACAUCGUCUCAUGCAUAUCGGACACUCGUCGUCCCUCAAAAAAAAAAAAUAUUGAUCCUAAAACAUUGAAAAUUCUAUUUCAUAUAAGAUAAUCGCCAGUCGCAAAUGGUAAUCACCCAUAACAUAUAGCUUAAAACUUAAAAGGUUGUUUUAGUGUCACUAUACAGAUUCAAUUCACACAAUAUUAUUAAUUUAUUGUUGAAUAGAGAGACAAAUCGUCAAAUGCUACUUCACCUAGCUAAUCGUCAAAUGUCUUUUGUUUGUUCUUUAGUGGUUCGUUUAAUCUGGAACGUCCUUAUAACAAGAAAUAUAUCUACUUAAUUAACUAUGGAAUUACAAUAGUAUUCAAUUGAUAUAAGUAAUCUAUAUAUAUAUAAUGGGAGAAUUAUCUCUCCAUCUAAGCUAUCCACAUCAUUAUCCAUGUCAUCCUAUUUUAAUUUUUUGUGAGGUCCACAUAUAUUAUUUAUUAAAAUAAUAAACAUUACAACUAAAAUUUCAUUCACACACUUCAUAUUAUUAUCUUUUAUUAAAUAAAUAAUAAUAAUUUUCUAUAUAUAUAAUGGGAGAGUUAUCUCUCCAUCUAAGCUAUCCACAUCAUCCAUGUCAUCCUAUUUUAAUUUUUUGUGAGAUCCACAUAUAUUAUUUAUUAAAAUAAUAAACAUUACAACUAAAAUUUCAUUCACACACUUCAUAUUAUUAUCUUUCAUUAAAUAAAUAAUAAUAAUUUACAAAAAAUAAAAUUAAAUAUUAAUAGAAAACGAAAAAAUAAAUAUUUUAAACAAAAUAUGAAAAUUUUGAAUAGAGAUUGAAUAAGUAUAAAAUUAGCUAAUUAUAUCUUAACAUAAUAUCACUUCCACAAUAACAAAAUAUAAAUAAAGAAGGUUAUCAUAUAUCUUAAUGGUACAAUAAUUAUUUUUGAGAGUUAUAAUUAUUUAGUAUAAUAAAGAAAAAAAUUAAUAAAUUUAAAGGUUCUUACUUAAAAUAAAAAGUAAUACACAAUUAAAAUUUGAGAAUAUAUUUGGUAAUGUUAAAGUAUCAAUUCGUGAUACCGAUUAAAAUAUAAGAAAAUUUGAGUAUGUGCUAUAUAUUAUUAUUUGUAAUUAUAAUAUAAUAUAAACAAUUGGUAUUUUUUAAACAAAUGAAUAGCCAAAAAGAGGAAAAACUAUAUAUUAAUCAGUGUUUAGGAAAUUAACAAAGAUUGAAAAAAUUAAGGUGAUUUAAAAUAAAACAAAAAACUAUUCUGGACAUCACAAAUAAAAAUAAAAUAUUCUAAUCAAUAAAAAAACUGUAAGAAUAAUAUUUGAGAAUGAUAUUUGGAACUUAGAGUAGUGAUAGUAAUGGUAGAUCGAAGAGUUUUUAUUUAGAAAUAAAGAAGAUUUUGUUUUUGGGAAAAACAAUUUUAAAAUUACACAUUUGUAAGUUACACAUUUUAGAAAAAUCAAAUUUAAUAAUAUUAUCUAAAAUCAUAAUAUAUGUCAACUUAUAUAUGUGAAAUGAGAAUUUUCUUAUUUUCAAACGAUCAAGAUAAAAGUGCAAGAUUUGACGUUGAAAUCUGAUGUAUGUGGUUAUAAAUGAGUUCAUAAAUGAGAUUUGUUCUCGAUAAAGCAAUUUCACAUGCACCAAAUCAUGGUUAAAGAAACUUCAUGACAAAUAUCUCUCCAAUAUAUUUUAACUUUCACUUAAAUGAAGAAGACCAUGCAACUUAUAAAAAAAUUGAAUAUUGAAAUAUAGUAAAUAGCAAAUAGAUAUAAUCUGUUUUGGGAACCAAUUCGUAGUCGAAUAUAUUACAUGUGAUUCAUUAGAUGGUGAAAAAAGAGUAGGUGUCGAGAGACGACGAGUGAAUCAUCGAAGAUAACAAGAGAAAUGUAGUGAACAACAUAAUUAUUUUCUAAACUUUGGACUAAGAAUGCAAAUGAUUAAAAUAAAAUCUCUUCAAAUUCGAAUGAUUAUAUUUAUAUUAAAAAUACGCAUUGAUAAAAAAAAAUUGAAUUAAAAUCCCGCGCAACGAUUGAAUUAAAAUCCCGCGCAAUUGAAUUAAAAAAUACGCAUUGAUAAAAAAAAAUGCAAAUGAUUAAAAUAAAACCUUUUCAAGACAAGAACCAGACUCUCAUGUUCAAGAUCCAAACUUUAUCGCCAUAUUUGUCAUCAUGAACAAAAUAAAGCAUCAGAAGGUUUCAGACAAGAUCCAGAUGUAGUUGAAUGAGGCCAUACUUUGAACUCUAUGUAUGUACGUAUCUAUGUAUAUAUGUAUGUGAAUCAGUAGAAACAACAUUACAUACUAUAUUCAUCAAGUAAAGGUUUUUGUAUAGCAAAAUACUA
rnacentral:lncRNA from 1 species